UGAAACUUCGGUCGAUUUAAUUUAAUUCUAGUGGCGGACGGGUGAGUAACGCGUGGGUAACCUGCCUUAUACAGGGGGAUAACAGUCAGAAAUGGCUGCUAAUACCGCAUAAGCGCACAGAGCUGCAUGGCUCAGUGUGAAAAACUCCGGUGGUAUAAGAUGGACCCGCGUUGGAUUAGCUAGUUGGUGGGGUAACGGCCCACCAAGGCGACGAUCCAUAGCCGGCCUGAGAGGGUGAACGGCCACAUUGGGACUGAGACACGGCCCAGACUCCUACGGGAGGCAGCAGUGGGGAAUAUUGCACAAUGGGGGAAACCCUGAUGCAGCGACGCCGCGUGAAGGAAGAAGUAUCUCGGUAUGUAAACUUCUAUCAGCAGGGAAGAUAGUGACGGUACCUGACUAAGAAGCCCCGGCUAACUACGUGCCAGCAGCCGCGGUAAUACGUAGGGGGCAAGCGUUAUCCGGAUUUACUGGGUGUAAAGGGAGCGUAGACGGUGUGGCAAGUCUGAUGUGAAAGGCAUGGGCUCAACCUGUGGACUGCAUUGGAAACUGUCAUACUUGAGUGCCGGAGGGGUAAGCGGAAUUCCUAGUGUAGCGGUGAAAUGCGUAGAUAUUAGGAGGAACACCAGUGGCGAAGGCGGCUUACUGGA
rnacentral:rRNA from 1 species